AAUCCAAUGUCCUUAUAUUUCUCCACCCAAAACCAAUCAUUGGCUAUGUUUAUAAUUCCCUUUAAGUGAAACCAGCUCUGCUUUGCAAUGUUAUCCUGUUCACGCCUUAGUUUUUGGAGAGAAACUACAAAGUAUAACUGUUUUCCAGUGUAAAAUAUUGACCUGUUUUGUUUUUUUCUUUUCUUUGGGUAAUAAGAUAAAAAGAAAAUGUAUUUCCAUGUUUAAAAAAAUGAGAAUUGUAUUUGCUUUUAUCACAGCACAAGUUUAAGUAGGUGUUAAAUAUGAAGGUGUAGUAAUAGCACAUAUAUAAUUUUAUAUUGUGAAAGAAAGUAUUUAAAUGGAUAUUGGAAGCAAUUUUUGGUGCUUUAUAGACAAUAAAAAAAAAAAGUCAUAACC